rnacentral:rRNA from 1 species
CCUACGGGCGGCAGCAGUGGGGAAUAUUGGACAAUGGGGGGAACCCUGAUCCAGCCAUGCCGCGUGUGUGAAGAAGGCCCUCGGGUUGUAAAGCACUUUCAGUGAGGAAGAACGCCUGGUGGUUAAUACCCAUCAGGAAAGACAUCACUCACAGAAGAAGCACCGGCUAACUCCGUGCCAGCAGCCGCGGUAAUACGGAGGGUGCGAGCGUUAAUCGGAAUUACUGGGCGUAAAGCGCGCGUAGGUGGCUUGAUAAGCCGGUUGUGAAAGCCCCGGGCUCAACCUGGGAAUGGCAUCCGGAACUGUCAAGCUAGAGUGCAGGAGAGGAAGGUAGAAUUCCCGGUGUAGCGGUGAAAUGCGUAGAGAUCGGGAGGAAUACCAGUGGCGAAGGCGGCCUUCUGGACUGACACUGACACUGAGGUGCGAAAGCGUGGGUAGCAAACAGGAUUAGAUACCCCAGUAGUC